AACGAACGCUGGCGGCAUGCCUAACACAUGCAAGUUGAACGAAGUCUUCGGACUUAGUGGCGCACGGGUGCGUAACGCGUGGGAAUCUGCCCUUGGGUACGGAAUAACUCAGAGAAAUUUGUGCUAAUACCGUAUAAUGUCUUCGGACCAAAGAUUUAUCGCCCAAGGAUGAGCCCGCGUAAGAUUAGCUAGUUGGUGGGGUAAAGGCCCACCAAGGCGACGAUCUUUAGCUGGUCUGAGAGGAUGAUCAGCCACACUGGGACUGAGACACGGCCCAGACUCCUACGGGAGGCAGCAGUGGGGAAUAUUGGACAAUGGGCGAAAGCCUGAUCCAGCAAUGCCGCGUGAGUGAUGAAGGCCCUAGGGUUGUAAAGCUCUUUUACCCGGGAUGAUAAUGACAGUACCGGGAGAAUAAGCUCCGGCUAACUCCGUGCCAGCCGCCGCAGUAAAAC
rnacentral:rRNA from 1 species